rnacentral:rRNA from 1 species
GACGAACGCUGGCGGCGUGCUUAACACAUGCAAGUCGAACGAAGUGGCGAACGGGUGAGUAACGCGUAAUCAACCUGCCAUUCAGAGGGGGACAACAGUUGGAAACGACUCCUAAUACCGCAUAAUGACGGUGGGGAUUGCGUCGGAUUCGCGAGUUGGAGGGGUAGCGGCCCACCAAGGCGAUGAUCAGUAGCCAGUCUGAGAUGAUGAACGGCCACAUUGGGACUGGGACACGGCCCAGACUCCUACGGAAGGCAGCAGUGGGGAAUCUUCCGCAAUGGACGAAAGUCGUACGGAGCAACGCCGCGUGAGUGAGGACGGCCUUCGGGUGGUAAAGCUCUGUUAAUCGGGACGCGGUACCGGAAUAGAAAGCAACGGCUAACUACGUGCCAGCAGCCGCGGUAAUUC